rnacentral:rRNA from 1 species
AGAGUUUGAUCCUGGCUCAGGAUGAACGCUGGCGGCGUGCUUAACACAUGCAAGUCGAACGGUGAACGAGGGAGCUUGCUCCCUCCGGAUCAGUGGCGAACGGGUGAGUAACACGUGAGUAACCUGCCCUUGACUCUGGGAUAAGCGUUGGAAACGACGUCUAAUACCGGAUACGACCCUCGGAGGCAUCUCCAGGGGGUGGAAAGAACUUCGGUCAAGGAUGGACUCGCGGCCUAUCAGCUUGUUGGUGAGGUAACGGCUCACCAAGGCGACGACGGGUAGCCGGCCUGAGAGGGUGACCGGCCACACUGGGACUGAGACACGGCCCAGACUCCUACGGGAGGCAGCAGUGGGGAAUAUUGCACAAUGGGCGAAAGCCUGAUGCAGCAACGCCGCGUGAGGGACGACGGCCUUCGGGUUGUAAACCUCUUUUAGUAGGGAAGAAGCGAAAGUGACGGUACCUGCAGAAAAAGCACCGGCUAACUACGUGCCAGCCGCCGCGGUAAUAC